AUUGAACGCUGGCGGCAUGCCUUACACAUGCAAGUCGAACGGUAGCGGGCCUUCGGGUGCCGACGAGUGGCGAACGGGUGAGUAAUGUAUCGGAACGUACCUUUCAGUGGGGGAUAACGUAGCGAAAGUUACGCUAAUACCGCAUAUUCUGUGCGCAGGAAAGCAGGGGACCUUCGGGCCUUGCGCUGAUUGAGCGGCCGAUAUCAGAUUAGCUAGUUGGUGAGGGAAAGGCGCACCAAGGCAACGAUCUGUAGCGGGUCUGAGAGGAUGAUCCGCCACACUGGAACUGAGACACGGUCCAGACUCCUACGGGAGGCAGCAGUGGGGAAUUUUGGACAAUGGGGGCAACCCUGAUCCAGCCAUGCCGCGUGAGUGAAGAAGGCCUUCGGGUUGUAAAGCUCUUUCGGCCGGGAAGAAAUCGUAUCAGCUAAUACCUGGUGCGGAUGACGGUACCGGCAUAAGAAGCACCGGCUAACUACGUGCCAGCAGCCGCCGUAACAC
rnacentral:rRNA from 1 species